UGCUUAGAUGGUCUGGGCGGCACGCGCGCUACAAUGAUGCAUUCAGAAAGUCUUCUGACCUUAGAAGGUUGGGUAUUCUCCAAAGUGCAUCGUGAUGGGAAUAGUUUAUUGCAAUUUUUAAUCUUGAACGAGGAAUUUCUAGUAAAUACAGGUCAUCAACUUGUGUUGAUUACGUCCCUGCCCUUUGUACACACCGCCCGUCGCUCCUACUGAUUGAGUGUCUCGGUGAAUUCUUUGAUUCUCUGUCGAUUCAGUUCACUGAUCCGACGGUGGAAAGUUGAAUGAACUUCGUCACUUAGAGGAAGGAGAAGUCGUAACA
rnacentral:rRNA from 1 species